GCAGGUUUUUCCUGGAAAGCCCCCUCUGCUUUACAUGGUUACUCCCGCCCCUCUGGGGUGGGCUUCGGGACCCUGUCUGGGCCCAAGAGGAGUGAAUCUAACCCUCACUCCAGGCUUCUUCUCACUCCCUCACUUCCCACAUGGCUCCUGACUGCCAAGCCCACUCAGCCGAGACUGCUGACCUGCAGUCCUUUUCUGUCCUCUGCAGAUGUGGACAAUGGCUACUACACAGUCAAAUUUGACUCCCUGCUGCUGAAAGAGGCCGUGGUGGAGGGGGACAGCAUCCUGCCCCCACUUCGACAGAGGCUGAAGAGUCCUCUGACUCAGACAGUGGCGAUCUGGGUGACUCCAGCUAUGCCAGAGUAGUGGAAUCAGGCCCUGUGGAUACUGGGACCAGUAGUUCCGCCCGCUGGCUGGGAGGCGCACACACGUGGCAUUGGAUCUAGGCUCCUCGCCAGAAUGGGCUAUGAGUUUGGCAAAGGUCUGGGCCGACAUGCAGAAGGCCGGGUGGAGCCCAUCCAUGCUGUGGUGUUGCCUCGAGGAAAGUCUCUAGGACCAAUGCGCAGAGACUCUGCAAAAGAGGACCAAGGAAGGGCAGGAUGGUGCCAAUAGGCCCCUCAAGGGGUGCCGGAGGAGGAAGGGCAGGCCUGUGGGCCACCUGCCCCUCGAGGAAUGUAUUUGACUUCCUGAAUGAAAAGCUGCAAAGCCAGGCUCCUAGGGGACCUGGAGGCUGGGGUGGAUCUCCCCAGAGGAAAGAAAACCAAGGACAUGUACCACGCCAGCAAGAGUGCCAAGCAGGCCCUGAACCUGCAGCUCUUCCAGACUGAGGAAAAGAUUGAGCGGGACCCAGCAGACAUCCGGGCAUCCAGGAGGCCCUCACUGGAAUGCUGGCCG
rnacentral:lncRNA from 1 species